CGCCAGGGGAGGUCUUUCAUCCUAGGCUGUGUCAGCAAAGCUCCCAGCACGUCCACAGCAGCAUCGACAAGCAAGGACCAGAUGAGAACCGCGAAGAAAUACUCGACAUUCUUGCCUCCUCGCCUGGGAUUCCAGGGAACCAUGGCGCUCCAUGAGAGCUUUGCCCCUCACUGAGAUGCUCCCUACAGGAGUGCUGGGGUAUUAAUCCUGCCACCACUGCUAAUAACACCGAUUCAGCACCAGAUGACCGCAUGCUGGUAUAUUUCCUGUCCAAGCCAAAGGCGGGCAGGAUGGGCUCCAAAGCCGAGCCCAUUGGAAGAUGCUCCCAUUCAAGGCUCUUUCUGUGCGACAAAUAGGAAAACUGAAGUCCCGCCAAGAAGGAUGGCUUUGUGGGGCCGAGGACUGAAGGCAGAGUCUCACAGCGGAUUCCAGGUUGACUUCAAACUCAUUAUGUCGUCUGGACUACCCACACUAGCUUCAGACUCAUAGCAAUCCUCCUGCCUCAGCCUGCCCAUUGCUGGGAUUCCAAGAGACGCCUUUCUAAGUCUCUUGUUCUAUAGGUGCCCAGGGUACCCCUUCUAGAGAGGGUCAGGGUACAGGCUCCCACUGACUAAAUGUUGUAGUUCUUUUGGCUGUGUGCUGGGGGGGGGGCAUUUGAUAACUGGGUCUUUCCAUCACAGUGGUGUGUGCGUUCAUGGGUGAGUUCAUGUGCAUGUGCGUGUGUGUGUUCAUCCUUGUUCACAUCCUAUGCCUCUGAACCUGAUAGGCUGGUGCUGUCUGGGACACGGCUGUGGAAUUUACAAGUGCAGGUGGGACUUCCAUCUGUCUGCAGGCGAUCCGGCUCCAGGGACACGCCCCGUUCUGGGUGUCUAAGAGUGUACCGACCUAGUGUGUGUUGGUGCCUAGGCUGGCUGCAGUUUGUCAGAAGUAGUGGUUUCAGGCUGAGAGUGGGUGGGUGCUGAAGGCCCUAUAGAGUGUUUGUGAGGGCAGGGUUGGUAGCUGGCUGAUCACAGACUGUUCUGCAAGCGUGGGGUGGCCGGUCAAGGCUGUGCCUCCUAGCGGGUUCUGGGUAGCAUCUCAGAGAGGAAGUGUCUUGAGGAGUAAACCACCUCCCCCCACACACCCAGAAAGCUUCCAGAAUAUCCCUGAAAGCUCAGGUUCCCUUCCCCAGUGACUCACAGCAGGCUCUCAUUCCCCGGGAGAGAUCACGAUUCAGCUAAUUCUUUCUCAGUUCCAUUCACCUGAGCUGACUAAGCAAGAGCCACAGGCGGGGUAGAGACUGGGGGAUACUCAUGACGGUGGCAGUCAUUCCUAAACCACCCAGCCGGCCUUGCUUCAGCUUCUGUCCACCUUCCUGCCUUGGCCUGGCCAUACCUGACCUGAUCAGUCAUGCCUCGGCCCCUCCCCCUCAGUUUGCUACACAGUUGCAGCAUCCAGGCUUCGCUCCUCUGAACUCACUUAGAUGGUUUUGUUUUUAUUUGGGGGGCUGAGGGCUGGCACCCACGACCUCAGCUCUAUAAAGCACAGGAUUUCCCACUAAACUAUAUAAAUCCCUACUGAACUUCAUUUUACUGUCUGCUAGCUUCCAGCUUUGGAAGGCCCACAGAGGAUCAGGAAACCGAGAGUUUCUCUAGAGCAGAUCCUAUACAAUCCAUUUGUCCCUGGGGCUCUUGGCUCCUCAGUCCUAAGAGAUAAAGUAGGGGGUACUGGGAGAAGUUCUAGAUUCCUAGGGGAUUCUGCACAGGGAUGCCCAUCCAACCUGUGGGGGUGCUAAUGGGGGUCACAGGGCUAGGAGGGAGAGUAGGGGGAGCUGGGGAGGAGAGGGAGUAGGAUGGAGAUGGGGUUGUAGAGACUGUGGCAAAGUUGAGGAUGGGGAGAGAACAUGGAAAAGAAUGGGUUGAGCUGCGGCUGCUGCACGUGAAGAUAAGGGGAGUCCAGGUGUCACAGCUGCACCUGUAACCCCAGCAUGCAGGAGACUGACACAGCAGUACCUCCAGCUCAAGUCAAGCCUGCGGUAAGGAGAGCUGAUAAAAGGUUUAGGGCUGGGAUGAUAAAGGAGGCAGGGACCAAGGCAGGCUGGAAGGGCUAGGGGCCCAACCUACUGAGGGACCAUCUGAUGGGUGCUUCUGGGAUGCACUCUCAGAGGCCAGCAUAUCUUUCCCCUGCUCUGAGCCUGCUGCCAGUCCCAGUCCACCUCAUUCACCCCGGAUCGAUGCUGGCCUGUCCUCCCCAGGAAACCAUGCCGGGGUUACAUAGGCUGGUAUAGUUCAAUUUAAAAUACUGAACCGUUUCCCCAAAUUCACGAUCUCCCAUUGUGGGAGCCUGGCAGGCUGCAGCAGGGAUGGUGGCCUCUGUCCUCAUCCUCUCUAUCGGUUCGGUAUGGGGAACCAAAAGUGGCCCAUAAGCUAGGCACACCUUUAACUCCAGUACUGAGAAGGCUGAGGCGGCAGGAUCAUUGUGAGUUCAAGGCUAACUUGAGCUAGAUAGGGAGCUCCUGUCUCAAAAAACAAAGAGAUGGCCCUGGUUUCAAUAGACUAUGGUGCGGGAGAGAAUGGCAGGAUGCAGCAGGCAUUGACGUUCCCAGGACUUUUUUAUGCGACUGAGGAACAGGCGCUAGCUAUGUGUAGACUCAGGGCAGGUAGUGGGGCGUUUGCUGGUCCCUGGAGACCAGGUUCAACUCAAGCUAGAAGGAGGCGGGAGAGUUAGACAGCAGAAAAGGCUCUAAGUAGGAUGCCCUGUGGCUUUCUUAGAUGGUGGAAGGGACUUUCCAUGGGGGCCAAAGGAAGGGUUUCCCUGGAGCAAAAGAUGGCGUGUGACAGAAAGCGUGUGCCACGAGGGGCUUUUUCUUUUGUCUGUAACUGUCCAAGGUUUAUUUCUCAUGAAGGGCAAUAAAGCUGUCAGUUGGAGGAAGUGUGGGGAUCUAUGACACAGAUGAAGAGCGCAGUGGUCCCUCAUGGCCCCUAACCUUUCCAUUUCCUUGCUUUUCCUUGGCUCAUUCACUAGUCCAGAGGAUUUCUGGGCUCCCUAAACCCCUGGGAACUAAAGUCCUCUGAGAACUCCCUGGCAUUCCCGGGAGAACAGGUUCCUGGCCCGGAGUGAGGCACGAGGCCUGGGGGUGCAGCGUGCCUCGGCAGGCCUCCCAGCCGGGAGCUGAGCUCGGCAUAGGCUGCCCGGGCGGGGCUGGGUGGAGAGCUGGGAGGGCAAGUGCCCCUCCCCAUGGCAUCUUCACCCCUGAGGUUCCUCCUCAACCCAGGGCAGCACUUGGGCCCUCCAUUCUUCCCCAGGACCCAGCUCAGUUGUCUUAGCUGGGCUCACCAUCAGCCCUUCCCAGGGCCAAGAGAGAGAAGAGGCAGGCAAGAUAGGCUGCCCCGCCUCAUCCCGGGGCUGCCCUUAGACUACGGCAUCCAGUCAGAUUCUGUGAGUCAGGACGGAAAGGGGGCUCUAUCCAAGCCCUGUGGGAUAGGACUAGAGUUCCCUGCCACCCUCUCUACUCCCAGGGCUCAUCCAUCAAUUCAGGGGAACAGGAUUUCAUCAGUAACAGAAAGAGAAGGACCUGGGGAAGGUAGGGAUGGACCCUGCAGCGGUAGAGACUUCAGAGAAACUGUGAGGGAAACUAUCAAAUCUCCUCCUGGAGGGACUAGAACACAGAGACUGAGCUCGGUCUGGUGUGGCACCUGCCCAGCACAGAGGUAGGGGACAGAAAAAGUGAGAUGGUGUCACAAGGGGAGGCAUCUUCUCCAUCUGGUCCUCUCUUCCUGAGCAGCUGAGCCCCAGCACUGCGCAUACCCAGGCAUGUCCCCGGAGCCUGUAGGUGCAGAGUGAAGAGGCAAACACGCCCACUUAUUACUCUAGCCUUCACCCAACCUGCUUCUUUGGAUACUGAAGGAGAGCUGGGGGGCUCCACAGCAAAUCCCAGGACUCUGUCUGGUCAGGUAGGGGGCAGAGGGCAGUCUCAGCUGCUGGAGAGGCUUUUGACUGUUCCCUGUGGGACUUCACUCUCUAGAUACCCCAGUUCUAGGUGGGGGGGUGCAUCUGUGAACUCUCUGCCUGUCUCAGAUCUGCUCACCACUCCUCUCUACUAGGGGAUCUUGAGGCAGAGAAAAGUCUCCGGCCCUCAGAGACCUGCGCCUCCAGCCCAGCAUUGCCGACUCCAAGCCACAGCACCUGUUGCCACCUGUCUGCUUCUGCACCAGGUGCAACCGUCUCCUCUUUGCAAGUCAAGCCUCCGCACGGAAUACGGAACACACAGACCCCAGCCCGGGCAUUCCAGAGAGAUGGCUAGCACAAGUCUCCAGAGCUGGGAGCCUCAUCUCCCACCCAAAGCCACUCAGUCGUUGACUGGGUAUCUGCCUGCUUGGCUUUGACCUCCAGUUUCCCAGCUAGAGUCCCUAUUGCUUCCCAGCCCAGGGUGCGUGCCACCACACAGAGCCACCACACAGAGCCAUUACACAGAGCCACCACACAGAGCCACCAUGCACAGCAGGACAGAGUCCUACCCUACAACAAGAAGGAUCAAAGUUGGAAGACCUGGGCCAGGAAACCGAGAGAGAGGAGUGUGGAGGAGGGGUCCCCCUCAGCCUCCAAGCACUCACCCUGAUCUUGAGCCUCCCUUGAAAGACAGUGAGACGCUGAGAAGCACCCAGUGCCUUCUGGGGCCCAUUAAAAAGCCAAGCCCCCUCCCCUGCUGGCCUCCACGGCUGACUUGGGCCAGGUCUCCUCUUACCUGCUCAGUGAAGCAGGUCGGCGUGGGGGCCUGGGUCUAGGGGGCCAGGAGCUCUGACUGUCUGUCAGUCCGUCAGCCCGGUUGUCCUGGGUCUGCGCUGACAUCAGGUGAGGGGAGGCAGCUGCUGGGUGAGCCAAUAAUUAUGAUAUCAGCUUCCCCUUGCCCCGAGGGGUUGCUGCCAAAAACGGGGAGAAGAGAAAGGUGACUAAGAAGCUAGUUUGCUCCUUGGCUCUUGUUUGACAGGUACUGGCUCCUGUGCCCGCCCUGGCCGCGCCCGGCCCCCCAGCCCUCCCCUCCUGCUCCAACCAGGGCCCCCAGUCUCUGCCAGCGGGCACAGCCUGUGGCUUGCGGGGGAGGGGGUGGCUCUAUGGCCCCCACCUGCACCCCAGAACAGAGAUGUCAGCCCCCACGGGUGGGGCCCAGGCCUGUUGGGACACGCACCUGUGUGUCAGGAGAGCCUAGCCGCCACAUGUGUGUUCAUGGAGUCAGUGAGGGGUUCUGGGAAGCAGCGCAUGGUUGCAGUACUGAGUCCUGUGAGGCAUAGUGUGGACCACAGUGAUUGGUACCCCUCAAGGACCUGUUGCUUUCUGGGAUAUGUCUACAAGGUUGUCUCAUCUGCUUGUUAUAUUGCCUCUGACUCCUUAUGUGUGUGGGGGUGUGCCCCCAAGUCCAUGUGCGACUUCUCCAUGUUUGUAGACUUCCUCUCUCAUUUCUCCAUGGGUCCUCCUAGGGAUUAUCUGUUCACACCUAUGUCUUCCCUGAUGUCUGUGCAUCUGAGGCUCUUAGCCCGGUACCCAGGCCUGUAUCUCUCUGCUAUGUGUCGAUGUUGAGUUUAUAGUCAUGUGUCUCUGCUCUGGGUCAUCCUGCCCCAUGUAUGGGUGUGGGUGGAGAUGGAGGUACCUAGUUCCGUGUGUCAUCACCCCCCACCAUCCCUCUUUAUGAUCUACAGGAUGGAAAUAUCUGAGUGGCUGCUGGUUCCCAGCCCCUCAGGGUCCACAGUGGGGGUGCAGUGCCUGGUGGGUCUAGGAACUAGCCACCAUGAAUCCCACCCAGUUUAGACAUGGUGCCUGUCCUUGCCUCUCCACAGUCUUUUUGGUCCCAUUUCUAUUUAAUGUCCCCUGCCUUUCUCUCCUUCCCUCCCCCUCCUCUUGCCCAGCCUCUAUGCCUAGUUGUACCACUUCCUGGAGCUAAGGGCUGGUAUGCAAUGGUAAGGCUACUACUUUGUGGGCCUGGAGAUGCAGCAGACCUUCUCAUUCACAGCAUCUCCCUCUAAAGACACAGUGGGAUUGGGGCUGGACGGUGGUUCAGGUCUUGCGGCACAAGCAAGAAUGGACUGAAAACACUUGAAGAUAUCUUGGGCCAGAGUGAACUGGAGGCAGGAGGACCUGAAUUUGGAACCCCAGAACCCAUGUAAAACCCAGGCCUGGCAGGACACACUCAUAACCCGGGGAAGACCGAGGAUCCCCUGCCAGUCGGAUUAGCCAAAACAGCAAGUUCCGGAUUCAGUGCGAGACCCUGUCUCAAAAAAAAAAAAUGAAAUGGACAGUGAGUGAGAAAGACCUGUAACAUUAAUCUCUGGCCUCCACGUACAAAUACACAGGAGAGUGCCAUGUGUGUGUAUACACAUGUGCACAGACACACACACGCAUGCACACACACACACACACCAACAGAUAGCACAUCUGGAGAUAUCUUGGUCUCAGUGGAGGCUGUGCAGAGCUCAGUAGAAGGGUGCUGUCAGUGGCUGACUGCAUGGCCUUCUGGUGGUUUUUUGAGAUGUUCUUACACUGCACCCUAAAAACUCUCUGUAAUUCUCCUGCCUCAGCUCCCUGAGCUGUGGCUUCACAGGCAUUCUCUACUUUGUUGCUCAAUGGACCCAUUUGUACAUGAUGCUUAGCUGUGUGUUCUUCCACACUUGGCCCUCAAGUCUCACUUUCCUCGUCUGUGAACUCGAGGAUUGGAAGGAUUAUAAAGGUGUAUGUUCUCAGUUCCCAGGAUGACCCACGGUGAGAGCCGACAGUCAAUAAAUAUGCAUCUCCCUUCCCUACGCUAAGCCCUGAGCAUGCUUGCAUACAAGCUUGGGAAGAGGAUUUGCUUUCUGGGGUUAGGCUGGAGGAGCUGAGUCAAUUCACCUUUCUCUAGGGAAAAAAGUGCCUUUUCCUUAAAGGGAAUGGUUUUAAGGGGAGCCCUGUUCCCUUACAGCUAAUGGUGAAGGAGACUGUCUUGUGUGUUUGGGAAUUGUUUGCUCUGAUGUGUUCAGGGUUGAUUGUCUUUUCUAGACUUGCAAAGUAUUUCUGUAUAGAUAUUUUAGAAAUGGAGAACCAGGAAAGUUAUGGGUGGAGCUCUACCACCUUGGCUAUCCAGUGCAGUAAGAGAAGCAGGGGGAACGGGGGUACCAACAAAAGCCAGUAAAGACACUGCUGCCAAACCCCAAGACCUGAGCUCAAUCCCUGGCACCUGAGUCAUGAAAGGAGACAGCUGACUGACUACUGAAAGUGUCCUCUGCCCUUCACACGUAUGCUGUGGCAUGAGGCUUCUUCCUUUCUCCAAACAAAUAACUAAAUGUAAUAAAAUAUUUUUAAGGAAAAAAAAAAGGGGGGGCUGGAGAGAUGGCUCAGAGGUUAAGAGCAUUGCCUGCUCUUCCAAAGGUCCUGAGUUCAAUUCCCAGCAACCACAUGGUGGCUCACAGCCAUCUGUAAUGG